rnacentral:rRNA from 1 species
AGCGAACGCUGGCGGCAGGCCUAACACAUGCAAGUCGAACGGACCCUUCGGGGUUAGUGGCGGACGGGUGAGUAACACGUGGGAGCGUGCCCUUUGGUUCGGAACAACUCAGGGAAACUUGAGCUAAUACCGAAUGUGCCCUUCGGGGGAAAGAUUUAUCGCCAUUGGAGCGGCCCGCGUCUGAGUAGCUAGUUGGUGGGGUAAUGGCCUACCAAGGCGACGAUCAGUAGCUGGUCUGAGAGGAUGAUCAGCCACAUUGGGACUGAGACACGGCCCAAACCCCUACGGGAGGCAGCAGUGGGGAAUCUUGCGCAAUGGGCGAAAGCCUGACGCAGCCAUGCCGCGUGAAUGAUGAAGGUCUUAGGAUUGUAAAAUUCUUUCACCGGGGACGAUAAUGACGGUACCCGGAGAAGAAGCCCCGGCUAACUUCGUGCCAGCCGCCGCCGUAACAC